AGAUUAAGUUAUUAAGGGCGCACGGUGGAUGCCUUGGCACUAGAAGCCGAUGAAGGACGUUACUAACGACGAUAUGCUUUGGGUAGCUGUAAGUAAGCGUUGAUCCAGAGAUUUCCGAAUGGGGGAACCCAGCAUGAGUUAUGUCAUGUUAUCGACAUGUGAAUUCAUAGCAUGUCAGAAGGCAGACCCGGAGAACUGAAACAUCUUAGUACCCGGAGGAAGAGAAAGAAAAAUCGAUUCCCUGAGUAGCGGCGAGCGAAACGGGAAGAGCCCAAACCAACAAGCUUGCUUGUUGGGGUUGUAGGACACUCUAUACGGAGUUACAAAAGAAACUGUUAGACGAAUCAUCUGGAAAGAUGAAUCAAAGAAGGUAAUAAU
rnacentral:rRNA from 1 species